GCUUUUGCAUCCCAGAUUCUAAUACUAUUUUUUGUUUUAUGAAUUUCAUCAGCGGAAUAGAUUUUCAUUUGGCUGCAUCACUGCCUUUAAUAAAUUGCUUCUCAAUGAGUUGGCUACUCCAGCAAGGUGGAAUGUCAUGCUGAAAUCCACGCAUCCCUAGACCUCUUAGGUUGCAUCCAAGAAGAAAAGUAUAGCAGAUGAAGCUGGAGUUAUGUUACAGGCAAAGUUGAGGCAGGUUGCUCCAACCACAUAGGUAGUCCAUGUAUUUUAUAAUUUUUUUUUGGUUAACAUGUAUUUUAUAAUACCUGGUUUGAAAUAUAGGAACUUCAGGCUUUCCCCAA